AUUGAACGCUGGCGGCAGGCCUAACACAUGCAAGUCGAACGAGCGGCGGACGGGUGAGUAAUGUCUGGGCAACUGCCUGAUGGAGGGGGAUAACUACUGGAAACGGUAGCUAAUACCGCAUACUAUCAGAUGUGCCCAUAUGGGAUUAGCUUGUUGGUGGGGUAACGGCUCACCAAGGCGACGAUCCCUAGCUGGUCUGAGAGGAUGACCAGCCACACUGGGACUGAGACACGGUCCAGACUCCUACGGGAGGCAGCAGUGGGGAAUAUUGGACAAUGGGCGCAAGCCUGAUGCAGCCAUGCCGCGUGUAUGAAGAAGGCCUUCGGGUUGUAAAGUACUUUCAGCGGGGAGGCGGUACCCGCAGAAGAAGCACCGGCUAACUACGUGCCAGCAGCCGCGGUAAUAC
rnacentral:rRNA from 1 species